AGAACACUCCACAUUACGAAAACUUCAAGUAUGUAAUUAUUUUGUUAAGCGUGAAAGUGCUUGAAAUCCAGACUUCAGGAGAAGACAGAAAACAGCACCAAGAAUAUAAGCCUAAAGCCCAUAGCAUUUCACUCAGCAGUUUGUAGUGGUUGAAGCCACACCCAAAGCAAGAACCACAGUGAGCUGAUGGAUAUUUUACAGGAAAACUUCAGGUUAUGAGUAUGUGAUGGUUCCGUGAGCAAGACUGGCAUCCUUGGCUGGAUGGGCAAGCACACACCUCACAGGCAGCUGGGCCUCUCGACUUGGGGUGCGGAGGGGGAACGUGUGGAGACAACCAGGGUGUCUCCAGCAUCUUCAGGACACCUGUUGUGAUGGAUCCUGAAGGAAUUAGCAGGCGAUGUAUGCUGAUCCCACACAAAGGCUGGUAGAGAAUUUGUCCAGCUCCAGAAAGAGGGGAUGCAAAACAGGUCAUUGUCACACUGCUGGGAAGACACUCAGUAUUUGCUAGGAUCACCAGAGGGGUGCGGCUUGACUUUUAACAGAGGCUUUGGUUUUAUGAUAGAUAUGAAAACUGUCAUUCAACAGACAAGAAGAGACGUGUGUAUAAGAUUAAAGGCUGAGCAGCUUUAGGACAAGUUCACACACACAGUGACACAAGUCUUCAGAGAUACAGCUUUAAUAAUUAGAGACUUGAAAGCAGGUAGAACAAAACACUCAUGAGACUCAUUCCAUUGUCAAGAAAUUUAAUAUGGCACCAGGAGAUUUGCAUAAUUGACCUAUUUGGCUUUCUGCAUCAAGUUUGGUGUCCUGUUGCAGAAGCUGAGCAUUGACGGGACAGAGGCAUAAACUGCAGCGCUUGAUAAAAUAGAGCCCCGUAUUCUGAGGUUAGUGAAGAAAACACAAAGACUUGACAGAUGCACUCCUAGAUCGCAUCUCACAGUCAUUCAAGGUUUAGGGCAAGGGAUUUCCAUGUGGAGUCUCACCUUUUCUUGUCCCGGUCAUGCAUCUUGGAGUUCCUUGGCUAAGUCUGCAGGGAGGAGAAGCAGCAGGCUUGAUUUGCAUCAAUAAAAGCAGUGAUCUGUGCUGGCCAUGCUAACCCUGUUGGCUGUUAGGGGGUGGGGGCACUCUGUAAAGGGGAGUCACUGGGACGGUGUAGGAUCAGCCUUCAGAGCCUGCUGCCUGACCGUAGAGGAGGAACCUGCACACACCCUGCUGUUUUAGUUCACGAACAGCUAUCGAAGCCUGUUAGCCAUCCUGGUUACCUGCUUGUGCCAGACAGAACUUACUGUCCCAGACAGUGAAGUGAGUUCUAUAAAAGCCCGGUCUCCUCCCUCAUGUGACCUGCACCAAGAACCACCCAGGGGACUGGAGUCACUGAGUCACAGGAGCCUCUGGAAGGUUCUCAUGACUAAGAAUCUGGGUGGCCUAAGCUGGAUUGGAUUAAUCACCCAACGCCCCAUCAUGGGACCACUGACUGCAAAACCCUCAAAGCUCUACACUCGGGGUGUGAGCAGAAACAGACACAUGCUUACCACCGCUAACAGGCAUCAGUAAAUACUAUUUAAAUACGUGCUUGAUCAUCAUAAGACAUUAAAGAUGUUAAAGAAGUACUUACGU
rnacentral:lncRNA from 1 species